GACAGAGGUGGCAAGCGUUGUUCGGAACCACUGGGCGUAAAGGGCGCGUAGGCGGCGAUAUAAGUCGGUGGUGAAAUCCCUCGGCUCAACCGAGGCAUUGCUUCCGAUACUGUAUUGCUUGAGUGCGGGAGGGGAGAGUGGAACUUCUGGUGGAGCGGUGAAAUGCGUAGAUAUCAGAAGGAACGCCGGAGGCGAAGGCGACUCUCUGGACCGUUACUGACGCUGAGGCGCGAAAGCUAGGGGAG
rnacentral:rRNA from 1 species